rnacentral:piRNA from 1 species
ACCCUGAAAAGUAACCGCUAGGUCAGCAA